GGGGUGGUCGAUUGAAGUCGGUAGAUUGUAAAUCUAUGUAUAAGUUAUUACUUUCUCA
rnacentral:tRNA from 1 species